AAUGUCAUUAUUAAUUGAAAUAUUAAAAAUUCAGCAAAAUUGCGGCAAUAUCAAAAUUAAUUACAAACACUAUCCAAGACAAUAAACAAUACUAUAAUAAUAACUAUAACACAAUUUUAUACUUUAAUAAUUACAUAAAAUGCAUGCAUGUGCAAAGACAAAUAUAUACUCAUAUAAACCGUUCAACAAUGUAUUAAAGGAGAUUCUCCCUGAAAGAGAUAAUUCUAAAAAUGUCCUGUUAAUUCAUAAUGUAAGUGAUUAAAUAAUAAGCGGAAAGUGUAGCGUCCUUGAUGAUAUCGAAGAAAGACACACACACUUUUAGCCUCUUUUAUCCAUAAUCCUUGGUACAUUUUUAGUGUAUAGCUAAACCCAUAUGCCGAAAGUAUAAUGGUAUCUUGGUUGGUUCAUGGUAGCUAUCCGCCCCUUCCUGUUUCCUCCUCGACGAGUUUGCCGUCCUCGCGGCUAAUCUUUAGGCCGCAGCAUCCUGUGGGUGGAGAGAUUAUGCCGUUUAUAAAGUUUCCCGUACUAACUCAGAAAUCUUCAAUCAACGAGUGCGUUUUGUACCGUCCACAACGCGCGUUUUCCUUCUUUUUUUUACACUACAUUUUUUCUUCCUUUUUCUUUAAUUUUCUUUAUUAUUUUUUUUUUUAAAUAUGUACUUCUUCUUUUUAUGCAUGUGAUGAAGUUCACGCGAUUGUUCCAUUGAUUCUCGUUCGAAUUUCUUCUUGGGUCACGUGUGUGUUCCAUAUAUCUCGCUGUAUCGUUCACAAAUAAAUACAAAAGUUUUGUAUAUCCCUUUCUUCGAGUGUGAUGUAGUUACAAUUAUUUUGGAUAUUCUUCUAAGGAAACGAAUUCUUUCGACGCACAAGGAAGCUGUUUGAUCGGUUACGCUGCAGCUCGUCAACGGGCACUUGGCUUUAUUAAAAUGCUAGCUGCCUUUUGAAGGGCAACAUCGUAUCCGGAGAACCUCAUCGAUGGAUAAAAUAUCGACCGACUUUUAGUUCAUGAUAUAUAUAUAUAUAUAUAUAUAUAUAUAUAUAUAUAUAUAUAUAUAUAUAUAUAUAUGUUAUGUUUCUGUGAUUUUUAAUUUAUUUGUUAAUCGUGUUAAUUUGUGUAUAUGUGUGUGUAUGUGUGAAAGAGAGAAAGAGAGAAAGAGAGAAAAAGAAAGAAAUGAUAAAAAUAAAAUGUAUAAAUAUUUCGUAUCUUCUCGCCUCGUUUCAUACACACUUUAUCUGCCCAUACAUCUUUUUCCUGAUCAUAAUUUCACUCGCAUAAUUCUAGUUCCCUUGUUCUCCUUUGAUUUUCUACACUUUUCAUAUUAGAAUUAGAAGGGUUUUGGGAACGAUCUUUAGUAGAAUCAUAGUAUUUAUUAAAAUUUUUGGUACAUCCAUUCGUGCGAAGUCACAAACUAUUGAAAUACCUUGUUCAUAUCUUCAUAUUGGCUCUGUUAGUAGACGUUCUUCCUUGUGCAAGAAAUUGUAAAGAGAAGCUUGAUAACGUUGCACACCGAUUUGAUAUUGAACUGUUUCUUUUUUUUUGUUGUUUUUGGUUUUUUGUCUUUUUUUUUUCUUGUCUUUUAUAAUCAUACAUGUGAAGCAGCUUCGACGCUUCGUUAACUCCGGUUUUGUGAAAAUAAAAAUGAGGUAAGACGACUUUCGAACACGUGAACUUCUACGCGAACCCAACGAUAAAAUUCUCGACUAUUUUCUCGUAAACCGCGCUAUGUUAUGUUUCUAUCAAAGGAACAAAACCGUUUUAAAAACGUCCCGUAAAAGAACUCCGAUCCAUGCACGUGCCUCUAAUGUGGUAUUAUAAUAAUGAAAUAUCAUAAAAUUGUGAGAACUAACUUGACUUUGUAUAAUUAUUCCUAGACUUCUCGCAAUUCUUGAUUAUAAUGAAAUAUAUUGAUACGUCCUAUAUAAACGUGGACGUUAUAUAUUAUCUUGAACGAUUACCAACGACAAUAAAUAAUGUUUAGAAAGUUAUUAAGUAUGUGUGCGUGCGUGUGUGUUGUGUGUGUACGCGCGCGCAUGUCUAUCUGUCUGUCUGUGUAUGUAUGUAUAUGUGCGUGUAUGUGUGUGUAUAUGUAUUUUUGUGAUAUAUCGAACGAGAUAUUAAAUAUACUAUAGCUUCCGUUAAAUUAUUAUGCUAAAUCGUAAUUAAAUGUAAUGUAAACGUCUAUUAAUCAUGUUCUUUACAAUGAUGAAA